AACGAACGCUGGUGGCAGGCUUAACACAUGCAAGUCGAGCGCAUCCUUCGGGGUGAGCGGCGGACGGGUGAGUAACGCGUGGGAACGUGCCCUCUUCUACGGAAUAGCCUCGGGAAACUGAGAGUAAUGCCGUAUACGCCCGCAAGGGGAAAGAUUUAUCGGAGGAGGAUCGGCCCGCGUUGGAUUAGGUAGUUGGUGGGGUAACGGCCUACCAAGCCGACGAUCCAUAGCUGGUUUGAGAGGAUGAUCAGCCACACUGGGACUGAGACACGGCCCAGACUCCUACGGGAGGCAGCAGUGGGGAAUCUUGGACAAUGGGGGCAGCCCUGAUCCAGCCAUGCCGCGUGAUCGAUGAAGGCCUUAGGGUUGUAAAGAUCUUUCAGCUGGGAAGAUAAUGACGGUACCAGCAGAAGAAGCCCCGGCUAACUCCGUG
rnacentral:rRNA from 1 species